rnacentral:rRNA from 1 species
GAUGAACGCUAGCUACAGGCUUAACACAUGCAAGUCGAGGGACCGGCGCACGGGUGAGUAACACGUAUCCAACCUGCCCUUUACUCGGGGAUAGCCUUUCGAAAGAAAGAUUAAUACCCGAUAUAAAGGAUGGGGAGGCGUUUCAGUAGGUGGUUGGUGAGGUAACGGCCAACCAAGCCUUCGAUGGAUAUGGGUUCUGAGAGGAAGGUCCCCCACAUUGGACAUGAGACACUGUCCACACUCCUACUGGAGGAGGCAGUGAGGAAUAUUGGUAAAUAUGCGUUAGCCUGAUCCAGCCAAGUAGCGUGAAGGAUGAAGGCUUAUGGGUCGUAAACUUCUUUUAUAUAAGAAUAUGUAUUAUAUGAAUAAGGAUCGGCUAACUCCGUGCCAGCAGCCGCGGUAAUUC